AUGGCCCUUCACCGUUGCGAUAGUCCUAAUGAGCUCUAUCCGAUGCACUCCUCCACCACCGCCUCCACCACCCCAGUCGCCCUCGCCGCAGGUGUCGACCUUUGGCAUGCUCGUUUGGGACAGCCGAACUCCACCGCUUUGCGUCAAAUACUUAAGAGUUUUUCAUUCUCAUGCAAUAAGAUCAACGACCAUACUUGUGAGGCUUGUCGUCUUGGCAAGCACGUUCUUCUUCCCUUUAGCGCAUCUACCACUAUUUCCACUUUUCCGUUUUUGUUAUUGCAUAGUGAUGUUUGGACAUCCCCGGGUGCAAGCAACACGGGCUACUGA
rnacentral:rRNA from 1 species